AGGGAUUGCCUUAGUAGCGGCGAGUGAAGCGGCAAAAGCUCAAAUUUGAAAUCUGGCACUUUCAGUGUCCGAGUUGUAAUUUGAAGAAGGUAUCUUUGGGUCUGGCUCUUGUCUAUGUUUCUUGGAACAGAACGUCACAGAGGGUGAGAAUCCCGUGCGAUGAGAUGUCCCAGACCUAUGUAAAGUUCCUUCGAAGAGUCGAGUUGUUUGGGAAUGCAGCUCUAAGUGGGUGGUAAAUUCCAUCUAAAGCUAAAUAUUGGCGAGAGACCGAUAGCGAACAAGUACAGUGAUGGAAAGAUGAAAAGAACUUUGAAAAGAGAGUGAAAAAGUACGUGAAAUUGUUGAAAGGGAAGGGCUUGAGAUCAGACUUGGUAUUUUGUAUGUUACUCUCUCGGGGGUGGCCUCUACAGUUUACCGGGCCAGCAUCAGUUUGAGCGGUAGGAUAAGUGCAAAGAAAUGUGGCACUGCUUCGGUAGUGUGUUAUAGUCUUUGUCGAUACUGCCAGCUUAGACUGAGGACUGCGGCUUCGGCCUAGGAUGUUGGCAUAAUGA
rnacentral:rRNA from 1 species